GAUGAACGCUGGCGGCGUGCCUAAUACAUGCAAGUCGAGCGAACGGACGAGAAGCUUGCUUUUCUGAUGUUAGCGGCGGACGGGUGAGUAACACGUGGAUAACCUACCUAUAAGACUGGGAUAACUUCGGGAAACCGGAGCUAAUACCGGAUAAUAUUUUGAACCGCAUGGUUCAAAAGUGAAAGACGGUCUUGCUGUCACUUAUAGAUGGAUCCGCGCUGCAUUAGCUAGUUGGUAAGGUAACGGCUUACCAAGGCAACGAUGCAUAGCCGACCUGAGAGGGUGAUCGGCCACACUGGAACUGAGACACGGUCCAGACUCCUACGGGAGGCAGCAGUAGGGAAUCUUCCGCAAAGGGCGAAAGCCUGACGGAGCAACGCCGCGUGAGUGAUGAAGGUCUUCGGAUCGUAAAACUCUGUUAUUAAGGAAGAACAUAUGUGUAAGUAACUGUGCACAUCUUGACGGUACCUAAUCAGAAAGCCACGGCUAACUACGUG
rnacentral:rRNA from 1 species